rnacentral:tRNA from 2 species
GCGGGCAUAACUCAGCGGUAGAGUGCGACCUUCACACGGUCGAAGUCGUAGGUUCAAGUCCUACUGCCCGCACCA